CCAGCUGCUGAUUUUUGAGCCGUUACAUAUGUGAUAGCCCACUGUUUUUGUUGCUUUUUUAUAAGCUUGCAAAAGCAACUUUUCCUUUCAGACCUUGAUUACCUUCUUAAGCAGAAAAAAAUAAUCACAAAUUUGUUUCUUGCUUAUUUUUGGUUCUUCACAAAAAAGUCUUGCUAAGAAUUUUAGCACAACAUGCAGUGCCAUAGGACUGUCAGAUCCAAAUUAACAUCUUACUAAGUGCUGAUGGGGCUGCGCAUUUUUAUCACUCAGACAAAAUUCCAGUCAACCCAAGUGGAAGCUUUGCCUGUAAGAGAGAUAUGGUCUUCUGAGACUCUUGAAGCUCAAGGUGAUGUUAAGUAGCCUAAACUCCUUGCAAACCCUGAGGAAAAAGGGAAGUCUUGUAAGAAAAACCUGGAUGAGCAAUUGUUAUCCUCUGUAGGUAGAGCCAGUGCAUAAUGGCUGGCUGGUAUGUGCUGGGGUUUUGGGGAGCAGGAGAAGUAAUAUGAGCAUACAUUGUCUAUUUUUUUCAGUAUGUUGUUUUCAUGUUACAACUAAGGUACUCUAACAGCUUG